AGCGCCCUCCCGCGACCACGCCCUCGGGCAGUUUGGCCCCUGCCCGACCUCUUCCCCCACAUACUCCCCGCCAGCCACCGUCGCCUCCGUCUGCACGCCGCCGGACCGCCACGCCCACUCUCCAGCCGCUCGGCCGCCCCGUUCACGCGCCGCCCCGUCCGGCCCCUCCCCGCCCCGUCCACAACGCGCCCGCCCAGACGAGAGCUGAGCCGUCAGGGCCGCCGCGCCCAGCCGAGCCGUCAGGGCCGCCGGCGUGCCGCCCGGUCCGCCGUCGCCGCCAUCCCUCCUCCACGCACUGCCGCCUCCACCGAGGAAGAGAUGCCCCGCGAAGGGGAAGUCCCUCCAGGGACGGCGCAGUCGGCAAGCGCCGCGUAGGCGUCGGCGAGGACAUGGGCGAGGGAGGUGGCCCUGUUGUGCGCGGCGGGGAGGCAGAUGCCGACCGCGUGUCUCCUCUCUGAAGGGGUGUGCCUGCAUCCGAUGGUGAGGGACCCUAGCUCCACACCCUUUUGCCGUUGAUGAAUGAAACCUGCAGUUUCUGUAGGUGAAGGUUCUGAAGUGUGAGCUCUGAAGUUCUUCCCCACGCGGUCCCAUACUGUCGCAUCAUAGGUAAUUGACUGCCUGCUUUUCUAAUGCUUGUGUUUUUAGUAGACUGCUGGUGUAUCCUGUCAUUCUGUGUAUGUUGCAAACGGGAAACUAGAAGAUUUUUUGAUGGGAUUUCCCGCUUACCUUCCAUGGGAGCUUCAGUUGGAUUGCUGAUGUUGCCACUAGAUUCAUUUGUGCAAAGAAAUCUGGAACACAGAAGAUGGCAAUUGCAUGUUGUGCACGGACUAAUUGGCUGGUCAUUCUGGGGGUAUAUGCUACUGUUUUUCAAGGUACACUCAGUGUUUAUUAGCAUCGAGUUACAUGGUAGACAUGACAGGAGAAAUAAAUUGAUAUUUUCGAUAAAUAAACGAGAAAUAAAUUGAUAGGAACUCUCUGUGUGUCCUCUCCAGAUUAGGAGGGCACGGAGAGACACAGAAUCGAGAAAUGAGUCCUCUCUAGAUAGAUUAGCAGUAUUGUUAGGCUGGACAGCUCUGAAUGUUGACCGCAGAUUCACACGGAUUCCGCUAUCUUCACACUAUGGAUUCUGCUAUCGAUUCACACGGUGUUUGACUUGCUUGUUUCAUCCAGAUUUCACACUAUCUUGCAUAAAUCCAGUUCUGAUUUUGUACAUAAUCAUUAACAUUUUAGGCUUUCAGGAGCCGUAAAACCAGUUGCCACUUUCCAGAUUGUUGACAUUAGAGGUAGGAUCAAUGGGGUGAUUAGUACUUACAGCAGCCGGUGAAAAUCAACGACAUUACUGAAUCAUUGAAGCUUCUUGGUAGUUCCCAGGUUAUAAAUUCCUAUGAUUUCAGAUGUACAUCAGUCCAGGAAUGCAGCAGCCAGAACAAUGGACAAUGAUGGUACUAUGAGUGGCUAGGUAUUGACCUACUGGGUCAAGUUGCUGGUGACUCUAUGAGGUGUGCAAAAUCUGGAUCUGCGAAUCCCCCUAGUUGCCUUGGGGGAUAGAUGUUGCAAAUAGGUCAAGGUUAGUUAUAUUUCUUCUUUGCCACUUUAUCUGGAUAAUCAUCUCUAGCCAGAUCACUUAAGACGAUAUAAUCUGCUAUUUACUUUUUAUGUGGUUUCAACAUGAGCAAGAUCACUUUAAGACAAUGGAGAAUGCUAUUUUUCUGCCGACUGUCAGUUAGCGAUAGGCACAUACGAUCGCUUCCGCCUGUUUUUUUCCUUCGAUCUUUCUUUACGAUCGCUCCCGCUCCCGCCCGCUGUCGAUCCACAAUCCCCGCAUGUCUCGCUCGUCCCCGCUCGAGCCUUUUUUGGGCUGUCUUUUUUUUUAAUUUCGGUAAAAAAAAUAGGAGUGCUGGGGGAGUCGAACCUGGGAUCUAAUAGAUCCAGCGAUAUUAGGAACCUAGCAGCAACCACCUAAGCAAACUCUAUGUUGUGAUUUGAUUCUUGUUACGUACUUUUCAUACCUUUAUGUUGAGGUAGACUUUUCUACUCACAGAUCUGAUCGAGUGUUAUUCUGCUGUUGUUUUCGGUUUUUCUUACAAACUUUUUACCAAAAAAUAUACAAAACAUACAUUUUUAUCAAAAAUAAAUUAGAGAUGUGAGUUGAGCUCACGAUUUAACAUAUAAGACUAGACUCUUGUACUCUUUGUACAUAGAUAUGAGCUGAGUUCAUGGUCUUAACAUGUUAAUUUAUUCACCGCAACCUUGAUAACUUACGUACAAAUAUUGUAGAAACCUCGAUCAGGUGAAAAACCAUUUUUGAAACACAUCCCGAUAACUCGUGUGAAAAUAGCAUGAUAAUAUAAGUACCGUAUACAUGAUAACUUUGGUCCAGUGGGGGAGUGUUGUUUGACGAUAAUUUAUGUGUAAAUAGCAUGGUAACUCACGCAUAACAAACUUGAUCACUUAUAUACAAACACCGUGAUAACUUUUGUACAAACAUCCUUAUAGCGUGCUAGUGGUCCGGCCCACGAAAACGACUUGUUUUUGGCGAGAUAUGGAUCUCAUAACUUGAUGAACAAAUAUUAUGUUAACUUUGACCCAGAAAAAAGUUGCUUAAAUAUACUCCGGCAUCUUCAGUGGUACGUAAUACUCACGGUAUUUUUGACCCGGCAGAAAAUAGUGGUUAAAUACACAACUUGAUGACUUCAAUAUAAAUAGCAUGGAAAUAUGCGCACCAUAGACCAGAUAACUUAGGGGCACAGACAAUGUGAUAACUUUGACCUGGGAUUUUUCUUUCUUUAAAUCAUAUCUUCAAUUACUUAUGUGUAAAAUAAUAUGGUAAUAUACGCAUCGCUUACCUGAUAACUUAGGUCCAAACACCACGGUAAUUUUUAUCCGGGAAAAAAAUGUUGAAGAUACAUCCGCAAUAACUUCUGUAUAAAUAGCAUGAUAAUAUAUGACAACAAACCUGAUAACUUAGGUACAAAUAGCCUGAUAACUUUAAUCUGAGGAAAAAAAGGUUGUUUAAAAUGUAACUCCGGUAACUUUUGUGUGCCCACACCUCUGAUAACUUAUGUACAAAACACCAUAGUAACUUUUUAUUUGGGCGAAAAUAUUUGUUGUGCGUGAGUUAUCAUGGUGUUUGUGCGUGAGUUAUCAUGUUCGUGCGUAUACAUUAUCAUGCUCUUUACAAAAAAGUUACCGGGGUAUGUUACAACAACUUUUUUUCUUCGGGCAAAAAGUUAAGCAGUGUUUGUGAGUGAGUUAACAGGUUUGUGGCUUAUAUAUUACCAUGCUCUUUAUAAAGAAAUUAUUGGGAUUUGUUACAAAAAAAAAAAAUCAUGUGGUCAGAAAAUUUACCAUAGUGUGUUGUGCGUGAGUUAUCAGAUUCAUGGCGUAAUAAAUUAUCAUGCUCUUUUUCCAGAUAAGUUAUCGGGGUGUGUUACAACAACACUUUUUCUUCACAGUUACCACAGAGAUUUGUGAGUGAGUUAUCAGGUUCGUGGCGUAUAAUUACCAUGCUCUUUUACAGAUAAGUUAUCGAGGUGUAUUGUUACAACAUUUUACUUAGGGUCAAAAGGUUACAGCGGCGCGCGAGUUAUCAGGUCUGUGAUGCUUGGAUUGCCAUGUACAAAAGGAAAGGAAAUUUGGUAAAUAAAAAAGAAAGAAAGAAAAACAGCUUGUUUUUCUGGUCGUGUAUGUAGAAGUACAAAUAUUUAUUGGCAUUCUAUGUAAUCACAACUUGAAACUAGACCAGAUGGAUAUGACAAGCGAUCUUGAAUCAAGAGGUAGUGAGUUCAACUCCCACCUCAUACCACUUUUUACCAUGUUAUGUUUUUUCUACCACGCUAGGAAAUAAAAAGAAGCGGGAUGGGAUCGAGAAAGAAGGAUGUGCGCCAGAAAAACCGCACGGGAUUUCAGAUCUGUUUACCACAGUCCGGUAUAAAUAUUAUCCAACCUAAAUUAUAGCCAGAAUUUAAGCUAGUUCAGUUGGUUGUGAACAGCUAUGGUGAACCGUAGGUAUUGUGUUCGAGUCCCCAUUUUGUACAUUUUUUUACCACGCCAGAAAAAAAACGGGGGAAGGGAGGGGAACGAACCGGGGAGCGGGAGAAGCGAUCGUGCGGAUCUGUCGCUAACCACCAGUCGACUGGUGGUUAGCACAGUCACAAUAUAUAUUCAGCCACCCAUGUGAUAUUUACUUUCUAUGCGUUUUAGCAUGUUCACACUCUUUAGAAGUACGCAAAUGGGCAGAUUUUGAUUUGACAACUUGCUGUCUUAAUUGUUCUGGCUGAAUAUUGGAUUCCUGGCCCUUAUGUUAUCUACCUGUCAUAUGUUUCUGGCUGGAUGUCUACUGCUUCUCUCAAGGACAUGUUAGUUUCGAUCGACACUAUAUAUAUCUACAUAACAGUUUCAAUUGGAUCACAUAACAUUCUUUUCCCUGCAAUAUUACAUGGUUAAUUGGACUUGAAUUAGCUGUGUGGUUCAUGUGCACAUUGUGCUUGGUUAACCAUUCAGUUAUCACAAAUCGAUGGGAUAAACACAAAGUAUGCACUUCCAUCUAUCCUUCUGAUCAUAUUGGUAUCAAGUGGUAUUAAAAGUCUGAAACUGCAGGCACGUAGUUUAGGUUGUUCAUACAAUAAUCUGCAUUAGGACGUGUUUGUAAAAUCAACACCAGUAGUUGUUCCUUUAGGUUGCUAGAAAUCCUUCUGGCUACAUCACUAUUUCUGUCACAAACUGUAAUAAUUUGGUUUUUUGUCUCGGUAUGGAUAGUCAAAUUGUACGAGUAGUUGUAGAAGGAAUGCAGACCCUUAAUCUAACAGCGAUUUGUUUCGGUAUAGACAGUAAAAUUGUUUGAUUAGUAAGUUUGUAGAAAAAAUGUAGUCCCUUAAUCUAAUAGCGAUUUGACUUUUUAUGUGACACAUAACAUUCCUGUAACUGUAAAGACACCUCCAGAUGUUGUGAUUCUGCAAAUUAUCUAGGACAUGCUUAUGCUUUUGCAAUACCUCUCUGAUUAUCUAUGAAUCUGCAAAAGUGCUAGCUGCCAUAAUUAAUGUUCGAUUGUUAACUCCAAACAUGAUAUCACUAUCGCAUUACACAUGUAUGUUUUUUUCCCAUAAAAGGCAAACUAAUAUACAAGUUUACCUAUAGCUGAUAUGCUGUAUUGGAAGUAAUAGUGUGAGGGCAGCCAGGCAAGUUUCUGUAUGGGUGACAGGUUCCGGUGGACAGAGGUGAUCUGGACCAUUGUAUGUAAUGAGUACUCUGAUGUUUGAUCAACCCAUUACCUCAAAAAAAUAUUUUUGUAUUUAUAGUCGAAAAGCAGUAGUAGUGUCAGCCUAUAAUGCAUCCACUAAUUACCUAUCUAGAUAGCCAAUGCAAAUUACUAAGCAGGUUGCAUUCGAAUCUGGCAUGUGAAUUCAUAGAUGGAGACAAAACAAGUCGUGCAUGGAUGGCCGUAGAGGAGCAAACCCAGGCUAUGCAUUACUAUUUGUACCUAGCAUUUUCUGGUUUUGUUUCUUAGAAGCGCAAUAAUUUAUUUUCCAAAAGCUUUACUUGUUAACCUGUGUAUGGUGUUUGCAGGGAAAACACAGGUUUACAAAAACCCUUUUUGAAGCGUGCAUACAUGGCUGUAAUUUUCUUAUGCUUGCUUUAUAAGGAACUAUCUGAUUUUUCUGAUAUGUAUUUCAAACAAUUAUUGGGAUCUACCUUUUAUAUCAACACUAUAAUAUUUGAACUUAUAUUUUCAGAUAUUUCAUUUUUCGCAUGAGCUAAGGCACAAUUUUUUGCAUGAUGUUCCGUGCAUCUGGAUUGCAUUUAACUCACAAUAAUAGAUGGAGGCAUAUAGGAAAUUUGGGAUUGCCAAUAAUUACAUCGUCUUCCAAAAUCUUACCGACAACUAGAAUGGCUCUUUGUAUACCUUUAGCAAUGAUUUAUCUCAUGGAUUUUUAUCAUCUUUGUCCACUCCGUCUGCCCUUAGGAUGGCUCGUUUUUGCGCUAUUUGCUAUAAUUCCUCCUGCUUGCUGCCUGUUGCCAACAGUGGUGUGCUUGAAUUGGGAGGCGGAGGUAGAGAGUGGACACCAAAGAAGAAGAAUUUAAAGGGACAAAGAGAAGUCAACAAUGAUGGCUCUUGCCGCAAAGUCUGAUUUAUUGUUUAAAAAAAUGGGAGGUUUGAUUUAAUUUAACUUGUUGUUAUUACUGAAAAAGGAUCACAAUGUCGAAUCAACCAUUGUUAUGGGCUUUUAGUAGGACGGUGUUGGUUACUUUGUCUUUGUUCUCGGACAAUCAACCCACAAUCCAGGUUUGUAAGUGACUAAAAAACAAUCCGCUUCUGAAUUGGGAGCUCCACCCCAUAUCUCUUUCCCGACACCCAGCACAGCCGGUCCUCGUCUGACUUUUGGCACUGUCAGCCCUCCUUGCUGACUUCCGGCCUUUCCCUGAGCUGCGGCCACCCCCGUGCCAUUGCAGUUUCCAUCUAGGACAAUCAUAGCUUUCUUGAGCUCCGUCAUCCGUUUGCAUGCCAACUGUUCGGCCAAUUGACCCAACAGACCGGUGGUAAUUUUCUGUUUUUUAUUUCAUGUUCCAUUUAAUACUGACGUUAUCAUGACCACAACCACUGGACAAGACUAAUAUUAUGAGGAAGGCAUCAAUAGCGUUCCCAUCGAAUGGGUUGUGCCGCUCUGUUUUGACCUGUAUUUCUAGGGCUCUACCACGCUAAGCCUAGAAGGUAUGCAACUGGUUAUCCUACCUCCCUUCUUUCAAAGAAAUUGGUUAUCCAACCUCUAUCCAUGACAAUGUCCAUUUUCUUUUGGUAGUGAUGAUCUGCAUCAAGUUUCUGUUUGUAGUAAAAUAUAUAUACCCUUUGUUGCGUUCAUUUCUUAGUGUCAGUUGACUUCUCAAGUGUCUUCCAGUGUGAGAUUUAAUGUUUUGAGUAUAUUUUAAUUUUUGGAUGCGAUGAAUUAUCCAAGUGACUAAUAUUUUAGCAGUUUGUGGCAAUGCUAAUAAAGGAUUUCAAUUUUCAAGUUAUGUAAAUUACAUCCAAAAUUCUGGGACCUUGUGAUUGAAUCGAAUACUAAAAAGAAUCUAUGAGGUACAGUAAGUAUGCUAUGGAGCUAAAGUGCAGCCCUGUAUCUGUUAGUUAGAAGAUUUUCUUGUGACAUGUGUUACAUUCUAUUUUCUUGACAUAGUUAUUUCUUCUUGAUGUGCACUUGUGUUGCCAUAAAUUGAAUAAUUGUCACUUUUUUCCGCGGCUGUCAUGGAUACAAUUCAAGGACUUCUAGACAUCAUUAUAUAUUUUCUUAACUUGCUUUUAUGCUGAGUAUGUUUGCUGUCUUGUCAACUGUUGGAGAGGAGCAGUGUCUAUGAUGAAGAAUAAAAUUUGAAUUUGGAAGGAGCCUUUGUAAUCUCUUGUUAACAAGUAUGCAACAUCUGUUUACAGUUCAUUAAGAAUGAUAUUUACCAAUACACUGGCAGCAUAUACCUUAUAUACUUAUAAGUUCUUAUGUGCUAUCUCCAUCCCUAGAAUUUAUGUAUCAAUUCUGCAAUUUCUUGGCAUUGCUGCUUUGGGAAUAUUGACUUGGAGCUUUUGCUGAAUGGUAUUGUACUCCAGAAGCUAGAGUUUGAAAGGUAUGUCCUGGUGCUCCUCACUUUCUGGGAUGAUCAAUCACCUAUUAUACAUGGCGACCUACACAGGACGAGCCCAAGCAAGCAUCUUGCUUGAUUUCACGAGGAAGUUAGCUAGCUAUGUAUACCAAGCUAGCUGAUCAAAAGGCACACAAUCAGUGUAUGCACGCAAGAGUUGUUGGCAGCUAAAAUCAUGAAGCAACGGACUGACAAAUCGUGGCCAACAUACAAGCAGGCGAAGAUAGCCAAUGUAUUUGCAUGUUUUCUUGACUUAGACUGCAAUGCAGUUAGUUUCCAUGAAAUAAAUUAUUUUGCCAUCUGGUCUUUAGAUACAGACAUCCAGUAGAUUAAAUAUAUAGACUUCGGCACAUACUUCAAAUUUUGAGAGGUAACCAAAAUAGUUGACACAACUUUGGGAGACAAACAAAAUAGUUUUACUUGAAGCUCCUUUUCUUUUGAAAUCAUAAUCUGAUGUUCCAAUAAAAGAGGAUACUUUUGCAACAUGUGCAUUUUUUAGACGUUCUGUUGAAAUA